rnacentral:rRNA from 1 species
GGUUAAGCGACUAAGCGUACACGGUGGAUGCCCUGGCAGUCAGAGGCGAUGAAGGACGUGCUAAUCUGCGAUAAGCGUCGGUAAGGUGAUAUGAACCGUUAUAACCGGCGAUUUCCGAAUGGGGAAACCCAGUGUGUUUCGACACACUAUCAUUAACUGAAUCCAUAGGUUAAUGAGGCGAACCGGGGGAACUGAAACAUCUAAGUACCCCGAGGAAAAGAAAUCAACCGAGAUUCCCCCAGUAGCGGCGAGCGAACGGGGAGCAGCCCAGAGCCUGAAUCAGUGUGUGUGUUAGUGGAAGCGUCUGGAAAGGCGCGCGAUACAGGGUGACAGCCCCGUACACAAAAAUGCACAUGCUGUGAGCUCGAUGAGUAGGGCGGGACACGUGGUAUCCUGUCUGAAUAUGGGGGGACCAUCCUCCAAGGCUAAAUACUCCUGACUGACCGAUAGUGAACCAGUACCGUGAGGGAAAGGCGAAAAGAACCCCGGCGAGGGGAGUGAAAAAGAACCUGAAACCGUGUACGUACAAGCAGUGGGAGCACGCUUAGGCGUGUGACUGCGUACCUUUUGUAUAAUGGGUCAGCGACUUAUAUUCUGUAGCAAGGUUAACCGAAUAGGGGAGCCGAAGGGAAACCGAGUCUUAACUGGGCGUUAAGUUGCAGGGUAUAGACCCGAAACCCGGUGAUCUAGCCAUGGGCAGGUUGAAGGUUGGGUAACACUAACUGGAGGACCGAACCGACUAAUGUUGAAAAAUUAGCGGAUGACUUGUGGCUGGGGGUGAAAGGCCAAUCAAACCGGGAGAUAGCUGGUUCUCCCCGAAAGCUAUUUAGGUAGCGCCUCGUGAAUUCAUCUCCGGGGGUAGAGCACUGUUUCGGCAAGGGGGUCAUCCCGACUUACCAACCCGAUGCAAACUGCGAAUACCGGAGAAUGUUAUCACGGGAGACACACGGCGGGUGCUAACGUCCGUCGUGAAGAGGGAAACAACCCAGACCGCCAGCUAAGGUCCCAAAGUCAUGGUUAAGUGGGAAACGAUGUGGGAAGGCCCAGACAGCCAGGAUGUUGGCUUAGAAGCAGCCAUCAUUUAAAGAAAGCGUAAUAGCUCACUGGUCGAGUCGGCCUGCGCGGAAGAUGUAACGGGGCUAAACCAUGCACCGAAGCUGCGGCAGCGACGCUGAUGCGUUGUUGGGUAGGGGAGCGUUCUGUAAGCCUGCGAAGGUGUGCUGUGAGGCAUGCUGGAGGUAUCAGAAGUGCGAAUGCUGACAUAAGUAACGAUAAAGCGGGUGAAAAGCCCGCUCGCCGGAAGACCAAGGGUUCCUGUCCAACGUUAAUCGGGGCAGGGUGAGUCGACCCCUAAGGCGAGGCCGAAAGGCGUAGUCGAUGGGAAACAGGUUAAUAUUCCUGUACUUGGUGUUACUGCGAAGGGGGGACGGAGAAGGCUAUGUUGGCCGGGCGACGGUUGUCCCGGUUUAAGCGUGUAGGCUGGUUUUCCAGGCAAAUCCGGAAAAUCAAGGCUGAGGCGUGAUGACGAGGCACUACGGUGCUGAAGCAACAAAUGCCCUGCUUCCAGGAAAAGCCUCUAAGCAUCAGGUAACAUCAAAUCGUACCCCAAACCGACACAGGUGGUCAGGUAGAGAAUACCAAGGCGCUUGAGAGAACUCGGGUGAAGGAACUAGGCAAAAUGGUGCCGUAACUUCGGGAGAAGGCACGCUGAUAUGUAGGUGAAGUCCCUCGCGGAUGGAGCUGAAAUCAGUCGAAGAUACCAGCUGGCUGCAACUGUUUAUUAAAAACACAGCACUGUGCAAACACGAAAGUGGACGUAUACGGUGUGACGCCUGCCCGGUGCCGGAAGGUUAAUUGAUGGGGUUAGCCGCAAGGCGAAGCUCUUGAUCGAAGCCCCGGUAAACGGCGGCCGUAACUAUAACGGUCCUAAGGUAGCGAAAUUCCUUGUCGGGUAAGUUCCGACCUGCACGAAUGGCGUAAUGAUGGCCAGGCUGUCUCCACCCGAGACUCAGUGAAAUUGAACUCGCUGUGAAGAUGCAGUGUACCCGCGGCAAGACGGAAAGACCCCGUGAACCUUUACUAUAGCUUGACACUGAACAUUGAGCCUUGAUGUGUAGGAUAGGUGGGAGGCUUUGAAGUGUGGACGCCAGUCUGCAUGGAGCCGACCUUGAAAUACCACCCUUUAAUGUUUGAUGUUCUAACGUUGACCCGUAAUCCGGGUUGCGGACAGUGUCUGGUGGGUAGUUUGACUGGGGCGGUCUCCUCCUAAAGAGUAACGGAGGAGCACGAAGGUUGGCUAAUCCUGGUCGGACAUCAGGAGGUUAGUGCAAUGGCAUAAGCCAGCUUGACUGCGAGCGUGACGGCGCGAGCAGGUGCGAAAGCAGGUCAUAGUGAUCCGGUGGUUCUGAAUGGAAGGGCCAUCGCUCAACGGAUAAAAGGUACUCCGGGGAUAACAGGCUGAUACCGCCCAAGAGUUCAUAUCGACGGCGGUGUUUGGCACCUCGAUGUCGGCUCAUCACAUCCUGGGGCUGAAGUAGGUCCCAAGGGUAUGGCUGUUCGCCAUUUAAAGUGGUACGCGAGCUGGGUUUAGAACGUCGUGAGACAGUUCGGUCCCUAUCUGCCGUGGGCGCUGGAGAACUGAGGGGGGCUGCUUCUAGUACGAGAGGACCGGAGUGGACGCAUCACUGGUGUUCGGGUUGUCAUGCCAAUGGCACUGCCCGGUAGCUAAAUGCGGAAGAGAUAAGUGCUGAAAGCAUCUAAGCACGAAACUUGCCCCGAGAUGAGUUCUCCCUGACCCUUUAAGGGUCCUGAAGGAACGUUGAAGACGACGACGUUGAUAGGCCGGGUGUGUAAGCGCAGCGAUGCGUUGAGCUAACCGGUACUAAUGAACCGUGAGGCUUAACCUU